rnacentral:rRNA from 1 species
GACGAACGCUGGCGGCGUGCCUAAUACAUGCAAGUAGAACGCAGUUGCGAACGGGUGAGUAACGCGUAGAUAACUGGCUGGUAGCGGGGGAUAACGAGUGGAAUCAAUAGCUAAUACCGCUUACCACCAGGUGGUCCUGCGUUGUUUUAGCUAGUUGGUGGGGUAACGGCUCACCAAGGACACGAUACAUAGCCGACCUGGGAGGGUGAUCGGCCACACUGGGACUGAGACACGGCCCAGACUCCGACGGGAGGCAGCAGUAGGGAAUCUUCGGCAAAGGACGGAAGUCUGACCGAGCAAAGCCGCGUGAGUGAAGAAGGUUUUCGGAUCGUAAAGCUCUGUUGUAAGAGAAGCGGUAUCUUACCAGAAAGGGACGGCUAACUACGUGCCAGCAGCCGCGGUAAUAC